rnacentral:rRNA from 1 species
GUCUACAGCCAUACCACCCUUGAACAUGCCCUAUCUAAUCUGAUCUUGGAAGCUAAGCAGGGUCGGGCAUUAGUCUCAUGUCUUUUAGAGA